UACGGAGGGGGCUAGCGUUGUUCGGAAUUACUGGGCGUAAAGCGCACGUAGGCGGCUUUGUAAGUUAGAGGUGAAAGCCCGGGGCUCAACUCCGGAAUUGCCUUUAAGACUGCAUCGCUAGAAUUGUGGAGAGGUAAGUGGAAUUCCGAGUGUAGAGGUGAAAUUCGUAGAUAUUCGGAAGAACACCUGCGGCGAAGGCGGCCUUCUGGACGAUGACUGACGCUGAGACGCGAAAGCGUGGGGAGCAAACAGG
rnacentral:rRNA from 1 species